GAUGAACGCUAGCGACAGGCCUAACACAUGCAAGUCGAGGGGCAGCGGGGAGGUAGCAAUACCUUUGCCGGCGACCGGCGCACGGGUGAGUAACACGUAUGCAAUCCACCUGUAACAGGGGGAUAACCCGGAGAAAUCCGGACUAAUACCCCAUAAUAUGGGCGCUCCGCAUGGAGGGCUCAUUAAAGAAGCAAUUUUGGUUACAGACGAGCAUGCGCUCCAUUAGCCAGUUGCGGGGUAACGGCCCACCAAAGCGACGAUGGGUAGGGGUUCUGGAGAGGAAGGUUCCCCCCACAUUGGAACUGAGACACGGUCCAAAUCCUACGGGAGGCAG
rnacentral:rRNA from 1 species